rnacentral:rRNA from 1 species
UUCGCAAUGCCCGAAAGGGUGACGAUGCGACGCCGCGUGAGCGAAGAAGGCCCUAGGGUUGUAAAGCUCUGUCGAGGGUUAUGAAAUAUAGAUGGGUUAAUACCCCAUUUAUUUGACAAAAGCCCAAAAGGAAGCCACGGCUAACUCUGUGCCAGCAGCCGCGGUAAUACAGAGGUGGCGAGCGUUGUUCGGUAUUAUUGGGCGUAAAGAGCACGUAGGUGGUUUUGUAAGUCAGGUGUGAAAGCCUUCUGUUCAAAGGAAGAACGGCAUCUGAAACUGCAGAUCUUGAGUGUAGGAGGGGAGAGUGGAACUUCUGGUGGAGCGGUGAAGUGCGUAGAUAUCAGAAGGAACGUCGGCGGCGAAAGCGACUCUCUGGCCUAUUACUGACACUGAGUGUGCGAAAGUUAGGGGAGCAAACGGGAUUAGAUACCCCGGUAGUCCUAACCGUAAACGAUGGGCACUAAGUAGAGGGGUUUU